GCAGCUUUUGGAGUCAAGACAAACCUGAGUUUUUUUUGUUUUUUUUUGAGAUGAUGUUUCACUCUCGUUGCCCAGGCUGGAGUGCAAUAGCGCGAUCUCGGCUCACUGCAACCUCUGCCUCCCGGGUUCAAGCGAUUCUCCUGCCUCAGCCUCUCAAGUAGCUGGGAUUACAGGCACCCACCACGAUCCCUGGCUAAUUUUUUGUAUUUUUAGUAGAGUCUGGGUUUCACCAUGUUGGCCAGGCUGGUUUUGAACUCCUGACCUCAGGCGAUCCACCCGCCUCGGCCUCCCAAAGUGCUGGGAUUACAAGUGUGAGCCACCGCGCCCAGUCAAACCUGAGUUUUAACCCCCACUAUCACUGAACUUGGACUCCAUGGCUUAGUGCCUCAGUUUCUUCACCUCUGAAAAUGAAGGUAAUGGUAGCACCUAACUCAUUAAGUUGUCAUAAGGAUGAAAUGAGAUGACACUAAGGGACUUAGCACAGCCUGACAGCACAGUAGGUAUUGAACAAAUGGUAGCUGCUCUGAUGAUUUUGUAGGAGAGACAAUAUCCCAAGGUUGCCUGAAUUACCCUUCUAGGGCUCUAAGAGCCCUGCUCACUCAUGAGUCACUGGGGUUGGGAGUUAACAAUGCCUGGGGAACCAAGCCCUUGAAGAAGUGCUGGCUCCAAAGUAGGAGUCCAAGAAUAUACAGCAAGAGUAAGAGUUGCUCUCACCUCUUCUUGUAGCCCCGGGGCCCAGCGACCUGACAGUUACAGGACUGAAGUCUUUCUCCAGCCCCUCCCUCUGCAGCUUGAACACCCUGCUAGCAGGAACCUCACGCCUACCACAUGCCUCGAGCACAGGCAACCUUGGCCUCCUCUGCAGAAGUGGGCAUCUCGGAGCCAGCCUGGAAGCCUCCAGCAGGGCUAUUCCCCCACACCCCUACCCACUGGAAAGGAGUGUUGUAAGACUAGGUUUUGGCUAAGGUAGAAAUUCCAGCGGGAGUUCAGGUUCCCAAGCAAUUUCACGUACAUGGCUGAACUUCUCACCUCAGCCCUAAAGAGGGAGCCUGUGGGUUCUCAGAGAGAUAUCACAAUUUGAGUCCCAAAGAAGAGGCCAGAUACCCACCCACCUUCCCCCAAAUCUUAAGCACCUGCGCCAGUACAGUCAAGAAGAGGAAAGUGUGUGAAGACCCAGGUCUGGCUCUGCCACUUGCCUGGCCAUGUCACCUUGAAGCUGUGACCUGACUCCCUAUAUUGUUUCCUCAGUUGUAGACCAAAGGCAAUGGUGUCUGCCCUCCUACCUUAGAAGACAAAUGCAAGGGCAUUUCACCACAGAGAGGACCUUUGUGCUCACUUUGGCCCAGGAGGCAGUGAUGCUCAUGGUUGCAUGACUUUAUGAGUCGCUGGGCCAGGGUGAGGACCUGGGCCUCCUGACUCCUGGCCCAGAGUUCUUGUCCAUCAGUUCAUACUGCAAUUUUAUGUGAAAGCAUUAUGACUGUCCUACCCAUGGGAGAGUAAAUGUAGAUUGAAUGCUAGGAGUCUUAAAGCUGGAGAGUAUAGAUUUUGAGGUCCCCAUUUGGGAAACAUGUGCCAGAAAUGUCUAG
rnacentral:lncRNA from 1 species